AUUGAACGCUGGCGGCAUGCCUUACACAUGCAAGUCGAACGGCAGCACGGGAGCAAUCCUGGUGGUGAGUGGCGAACGGGUGAGUAAAGUAUCGGAACGUGCCCAGUCGUGGGGGAUAACGUAGCGAAAGCUACGCUAAUACUGCAUACGAUCUAUGGAUGAAAGCGGGGGACCGCAAGGCCUCGCGCGAUUGGAGCGGCCGGUAUCAGAUUAGGUAGUUGGUGGGGUAAAGGCCCACCAAGCCGACGAUCUGUAGCUGGUCUGAGAGGACGACCAGCCACACUGGGACUGAGACACGGCCCAGACUCCUACGGGAGGCAGCAGUGGGGAAUUUUGGACAAUGGGCGCAAGCCUGAUCCAGCAAUGCCGCGUGCAGGAUGAAGGCCUUCGGGUUGUAAACUGCUUUUGUACGGAGCGAAAAGGCUCUCACUAAUACUGGGGGCUCAUGACGGUACCGUAAGAAUAAGCACCGGCUAACUACGUGCCAGCCGCCGCGGUAA
rnacentral:rRNA from 1 species